rnacentral:misc_RNA from 1 species
UCUCCGUAGGUGAACCUGCGGAGGGAUCAUUACAGAGUUCAUGCCCUACCGGGUAGAUCUCCCACCCUAUGUUAUUAUUACUUUGUUGCUUUGGCGGGCCGUUAGGCUCCGGCCCGACUACCGGCCCCGGCUGGUGAGCGCCCGCCAGAGGACCCAAAACCCUGAAUAUUAGUGUCGUCUGAGUACUAUAUGAUAGUUAAAACUUUCAACAACGGAUCUCUUGGUUCUG